rnacentral:tRNA from 1 species
GUGGCAGUAGCUCAGUGGUAGAGCGCCCACCCCGUACGCGGGAAGACCUGGGUUGGAUUCCCCGGCUGCUUUC